GUUACUUUUCAUCUCACUGGUAUAAAACUUGGUGUAAAAAUUGCUUAUGAAGUUUAUAGGUUACAAGGUUUGCUACCUACCCAUGCUGUCUUAGAUAACAUGGUGUACCAACUUGGCUUUCUCCCUUUGAAUGUUUGUGGAGCAUGUCAUUUCUGAAAGGCAGAAACAUAAAGGAGCUUCUCAAUUGCCUUCGAUUGAUUCUUGCUUUGUUUAAAAGAUAAUUGAACCCUGAAGGGGCUGGGGAUAUGGCCUAGUGGCAAGAGUGC